GAAUCCUUGUCUUAACAUUGUGGAUGGAUCACGAGAAUUCUAGCUUCAUAUUACACAGUGUUUUACAAAGUAUCAUACUUUAAAAAGAUAUUAGCUUGUAAGAACAUGUAAUAAAUAACUUCAAAAUAAAAUGGGUAUUUAAUUUUAAAGAGUGCCUUUAACAUUUAUGUAA